rnacentral:misc_RNA from 1 species
UCUCUUUUCCUCCUGGUGUGGGGUAAGUUAAACUGGAUUAAAAUGCUUAUUUCUUUUCAUCAUUUUAUUUUCCAUGAUUCUUUUCCCUCACUUUACUUGGACGUAAAUUUCCUAUUCUAUCGAAAGCUCACUUCGUCCUCCCGCUAGUAAAAAUAGAAAAAUAUAUGGGUGAAUGAUCUCUUUUGUCUUACACUCUGUCAUAUAGACUGACUCUCACUGGCUAGUAUCAGAAGAGCCCACUAUUAGUUUUUUGUUUCUCUGAGAACUUUUGUUAUAAAGAAUUCCAGGAUUUCCCGUGGAGGAAACUUGGAUAUUUAUUUUAUUGGGAAUUCAAUUCAGUGUUUGCCUAUAUGAAGAGGUGAAAGAAAAUUAAUAAUGGAGUAGCCUCUCCAUCCCACAACGCCCCCCUUCAUUUAGUUAAAUGGCCUGGCGGCCAUUGAGCGGCAGGUCAGAAGAGUAGUAAUUGAGAUUGUUGGGAUCUGUUACGGUGCAUAUAUUGCACGAUAGAUAACAUUUAGCCUUGUUUGAAUAAUCAGGGAUAGUGAUCAUCGACUAAUCAUCACAUUCACCAAG